UUUUUUUUUACACCAAUCUCAUACCUCAACUUAAUAAAAACAUAUCACUUAAACACAGAUUUGCACAUGGCCUUGAAAGUGAGGUAUACGUGCAUACAAGUGGCCAAAUGUAUGCCAAAUGGACAAUAAACAUCUAAGCUAGCACCUCUAUCUAUGAGAGACAGUUUUAGGUCAGAAAAAACAGGUUUAAGCUCUCAAAUUGUUCUUCAAAGAUUCUAAGAAUCUGUAACCCUAUAUACUUGUCCAACAGAACAAUGUUUGGGAGCCAUUUUUAGAGAAAGCAGAAAAUGGAAAUAAAAAAAGAAAAAAAAAAUAGAGAAUCGUUGGAAAUAUUUUCUUUAAACAAUGCAGCCUAGAGUCCCUAUUGCCAUAUCCACCAACGAAGACCAUCUCCUUGCCUUCAUUGCCAUAUCCACUAAUGGACACCAUCUCCUUGCCUCAUACCCACUGCCACUCAACUCUCACUGAUUCUCUCUACUUCACCCAUACACCACCAUAAGCCCACUUUCUUGCUCCAAUCAGACAUUCAUGGCUCUCUUUUCUUCCCCAUUAGUGUCCUUCCACACAGUAUUGGACCUAUUUCGUCAGCUCAUCCCUGAAAUCCCAAAUCUCCAUCGUUGCUUGUUCACUAGUUUCCCUCAUCUCAACACUCAUUGGGAGAGGAAGAAUGGUUUCAGUGAAUGCUAGAGAGUUUAGAAAGAUCACAGCUACACUGGGAGAGGAAAAGUGUGAUUGGAUUGAAGGUUUUGUGGAAGAGUGUUUAGUUCUUUUACUUUGUUUGAGGACAUGGUCAAGUGCAUUCUUCUCUGCAAUUGCUA
rnacentral:misc_RNA from 1 species